AUUGUUGAAAAAAAUAAAGAUGUCGUUUAUAACCACAUUUUUACAAAUAUCACACAUAAUCAGCUAAUAUGAUAGGCGCGAUCCUCAAAGUAGAAAACAAGCCAAGUGAACAGGGCUAUAACCGCGAAAAUCGAAGUUCGUCAAUUGCGGGCAUUUUUCUCUGUCGCUCUAAUUACGUCUUAGUGAGAGUAAAAGAGAAAGAUCCCCUCAAUUUACGAAUUUCGGUUUUUGCGGUAGGCCCCCAGGCCUGCCGGACAAAAAGCCGGGCGAAGAAAAAGUAAAAACUAUUACAAAAACUUAUAUCAUAUCGACGUAUUGAAGUCUCUCCUGACCUGUUCAGUAGCUGGAAUGUUGAAGAAAUAAGAAUGUAACUUUGAAUCCCAUUAUGUAAGUGAACGGGGUUAAGCACUGCCACGGCAGCUCCCGUAAGCUCGCACCUUGCGUACUUUUCACAUCAUGUUUCACAAAACUACGGCUUAAUACCCUAAUAUAU